GAUGAACGCUGGCGGCGUGCUUAACACAUGCAAGUUGAACGUAGUGGCGGAUGGGCGAGUAACACGUGAGGAACCUGCCUUACACAGGGGAAUAACACUGGGAAACCAGUGCUAAUACCGCAUAGUGAAAGAUGGCCUCGCGCCUGAUUGGAUAGUAGGUGAGGAAACGGCUCACCUAGGUAAUGAUCAGUAGCGGGACUGACGGUUGAUCGGCCGCAUUGGGACUGAGACACGGACCAGAGUCGUACGGGAGGCAAGAGGGGGAAAUAUUGGGCAAUGACGAGGGCCUGACCCCGCUACACGGAGUGAGGGAGGACGUUCUUCUGAUUGACACCUUCUUUGGACGCGACUCGGUACCUGGAGAAUAAGCCCCGGCUAACUACGUGCCAGCAGCCGCGGUAAUAC
rnacentral:rRNA from 1 species